rnacentral:rRNA from 1 species
AGCAGCCGCGGUAAUUCCAGCUCCAAUAGCGUAUAUUAAAGUUGUUGCAGUUAAAAAGCUCGUAGUUGAAUUUCGGGGUCAGUAAGUUGGUCGUGCCACUGGUAUGUACUGGCCUUACUGAUUCCUCCUUCUUGUAGAACCGUAAUGCCAUUAAGUUGGUGUUGCGGGAAAACAGGACUGUUACUUUGAAAAAAUUAGAGUGUUUAAAGCAAGCUAACGCUUGAAUACAUUAGCAUGGAAUAAUGAAAUAGGACGAACGAUCCUAUUUUGUUGGUUUCUAGGAUUGACGUAAUGAUUAAUAGGGAUAGUUGGGGGCAUUAGUAUUCAAUUGUCGGAGGUGAAAUUCUUGGAUUUAUUGAAGACUAACUACUGCGAAAGCAUUUGCCAAGGAUGUUUUCAUUAAUCAAGAACGAAAGUUAGGGGAUCGAAGACGAUCAGAUACCGUCGUAGUCUUAACCAUAAACUAUGCCGACUAGGGAUCGGAUGAUGUUAAUUUUUUAAUGACUCAUUCGGCGCCUUA